GUGGGACGGACAAGGUGGAGAAAAACGUUUGGGAAAAGCUAUGUGAAUACUGGGCAAGUGCAGCAUUCAAGGAGAAGUCCAUGCGAAACAGCUCAAAUAGAUCUAAACUGAAGGUCAAGCAUACUGGUGGCCGCAAAUCCUUUAUACGCAUUUUAGAGGAGAAGCGGGAGGCAGCACUGAACAUGGUUGCCUUCUAUAGGCAAACACAUUGGUCAACCCGGAAGGGUAAAUGGAUCAACGCAGCGACUGAACAUAAUUA